UCCGUAGGCGGGCAAUUAAGUCAGAGGUGAAAUCCCACAGCUCAACUGUGGAACUGCCUUUGAUACUGGUUGUCUUGAGUUACAGUGAAGUAGAUAGAAUAUGUAGUGUAGCGGUGAAAUGCAUAGAUAUUACAUAGAAUACCGAUUGCGAAGGCAGUCUACUAACUGUACACUGACGCUAAUGGACGAAAGCGUGGGGAGCGAACAGGAUUAGAUACCCUGGUAGUCC
rnacentral:rRNA from 1 species